UGUAAGGGUCCACUUAAAAGAAUGCGAUCUUUCAUCUGAAGAAAAAUUUGAAAGUCAUUCAUUUUAUGAUAAUCUAAUGAAACAGUGCACCAAUAAUAAAGUGAAUUCAAUAUGUAGCUAAAUUAUUACACGGAUAAAAUAUCAAAACCACCUUCAAUUAACAAGAUUACCUCAAAGCAGUACUACACAACAAAAUGUGCGACCACCACCCAACUCAAAGAACAUAUGUCACUAUACUCAAAAUGUACCUCAAAACGAGUAUAGCAAAACAGAAAUCAUAAUCUGGUCGAUCAUCGUGGAGUAUAUGUAUUUAAUCUAAUCAUGUAUAAAGUAAAAUCACAAAAAUACUCCAAGGAAAAUUCAAAAAGAAAAGUCCCUCAUCAAACUGCAAACUCAAUAGCUUAAAAACAUCAAACAAAUGAAC
rnacentral:lncRNA from 1 species